AGAGUUUGAUCAUGGCUCAGGAUGAACGCUAGCGGCAGGCCUAAUACAUGCAAGUCGAACGGUAACAGGCCCAGCAAUGGGUGCUGACGAGUGGCGCACGGGUGCGUAACACGUAUGCAAUCUACCUUUAACUGGAGCAUAGCCCCGAGAAAUCGGGAUUAAUUCUCCAUAGUAUUAUGAAGUGGCAUCACUUUAUAAUUAAAGUCACAACGGUUAAAGAUGAGCAUGCGCGACAUUAGCUAGUUGGUGAGGUAACGGCUCACCAAGGCUACGAUGUCUAGGGGUUCUGAGAGGAUUAACCCCCACACUGGUACUGAGACACGGACCAGACUCCUACGGGAGGCAGCAGUAAGGAAUAUUGGACAAUGGGGGCAACCCUGAUCCAGCCAUGCCGCGUGCAGGAUGACGGCCCUAUGGGUUGUAAACUGCUUUUGUACGGGAAAAACCCCUUCUACGUGUAGAAGGCUGAUGGUACCGUAAGAAUAAGGAUCGGCUAACUCCGUGCCAGCAGCCGCGGUAAUACGGAGGAUCCAAGCGUUAUCCGGAUUUAUUGGGUUUAAAGGGUGCGUAGGCGGAAUUGUAAGUCAGUGGUGAAAGCCUGCAGCUUAACUGUAGAAUUGCCAUUGAUACUGCAAAUCUUGAGUACAUUUGAAGUGGGCGGAAUGUGUCAUGUAGCGGUGAAAUGCAUAGAUAUGACACAGAACACCGAUUGCGAAGGCAGCUCACUAAACUGUAACUGACGCUGAGGCACGAAAGCGUGGGGAUCGAACAGGAUUAGAUACCCCCGUAGUCC
rnacentral:rRNA from 1 species